UACGUAGGAGGCGAGCGUUGUCCGGAUUCACUGGGCGUAAAGGGCGCGUAGGCGGCUAUUCAAGUCGGGGGUGAAAGCCUGUGGCUCAACCACAGAAUUGCCUUCGAUACUGUUUGGCUUGAGACCGGAAGAGGACAGCGGAAUUCCCAGUGUAGAGGUGAAAUUCGUAGAUAUUGGGAAGAACACCGGUGGCGAAGGCGGCUCUCUGGACCGAUACUGACGCUGAGGCGCGAAAGCGUGGGGAGCAAACAGG
rnacentral:rRNA from 1 species